GCUCUGGCAUCUCACAGCAAGCUAAUUGGAGCUUCAGCUGAGUCCACGAGCUUCCUUCUGCUCGUCCUAAGUAAGGAGAAGCAGCAGGAGGAACAGCCAGGGCCAGAUGGGACUGCACGGAGAGAGCAUUGGAGAUUCUGCUAGCAAGGUGCCUCUGUGCAGGUGGUGAUGGUGAACUCUCUGGAGCUGCUGUGUUCACCUAGAACUUGUUAGACCUGUGGAAAAGAAGAGAUCUUGCCAAGAAGCUACAGAGGACAACAAAUGUUUCCCGGCCUUCCUACUGUAACACCCUGAUGUUUUUGGCAUAUAGUCAUAGACUCUGACGAGGGAGUAAUGGAGGCGCUGA